UACGUAGGGGGCGAGCGUUGUCCGGAUUUACUGGGCGUAAAGAGCGCGUAGGCGGCCUGUUAAGUUGUUUGUGAAAGUCCCUGGCCUAACUGGGGAAAGUCGGACAAGACUGGCAGGCUUGAGAGCGGUAGAGGAAGGUGGAAUUCCGGGUGUAGUGGUGAAAUGCGUAGAUAUCCGGAGGAACACCGGUGGCGAAGGCGGCCUUCUGGGCCGUUUCUGACGCUGAGGCGCGAAAGCGUGGGGAGCGAACCGA
rnacentral:rRNA from 1 species